rnacentral:misc_RNA from 1 species
AGCAGCCGCGGUAAUUCCAGCUCCAAUAGCGUAUAUUAAAGUUGUUGCAGUUAAAAAGCUCGUAGUUGAACUUCGGGGUUCACCCAUUGGUCAGGCUUAAUUGUCUGUACUGGUGAGAUGAGUCUCUACCUUCUGAGGAACUUUCAUACCAUUUAUUUGGUGUGAUGGGAAAUCAGGACUGUUACUUUGAAAAAAUUAGAGUGUUUAAAGCAGGCUAACGUCUGAAUACAUUAGCAUGGAAUAAUGAAAUAGGACGGAUUGAUUCUAUUUCGUUGGUUUCUAGGGUCACCGUAAUGAUUAAUAGGGAUAGUUGGGGGCAUUAGUAUUCAAUUGUCAGAGGUGAAAUUCUUGGAUUUAUUGAAGACUAACUACUGCGAAAGCAUUUGCCAAGGAUGUUUUCAUUAAUCAAGAACGAAAGUUAGGGGAUCGAAGACGAUCAGAUACCGUCGUAGUCUUAACCAUAAACUAUGCCGACUAGGGAUCGGACGCAGUUAAUUUUAUAAUGACGUGUUCGGCACCU